CCUGCCCAUAGAGGCAUUGUAGGUGUGGCUGCUGUGUCACACAUGAGUCAGUAGGUGGGAGAAAGGAGACAGGCUAUGUCUACCCUCAGUGCUUAUCUGUGAACAUCUGAAUGAUUAGCAACCUAACAUU